rnacentral:rRNA from 1 species
GACGAACGCUGGCGGCGUGCUUAACACAUGCAAGUCGAACGCGCCUGUCCUCUGGGUUUCUGGGGGGUGGGGGGGGGCCAACGGGGGGGGAAACCCGGGAGUAACCUCCCCCUUUCUUGGGGUUAAGGGUCGGAAAGGGCGCCUAAUACCGGGUAUUCACGGUUCUCCGCUGGGGUUCGGGGGGAAGGGUUUUUUUCUGGUGGGGAUGGGCUCGCGGCCUAUCAGCUUGUUGGUGGGGUGAUGGCCCACCAAGGCUUUGACGGGUAGCCGGCCUGAGAGGGUGACCGGUCACAUUGGGACUGAGAUACGGCCCAGACUCCUACGGGAGGCAGCAGUGGGGAAUAUUGCACAAUGGGCGCAAGCCUGAUGCAGCGACGCCGCGUGAGGGAUGGAGGCCUUCGGGUUGUGAACCUCUUUCGCCCGUGGUCAAGCCGCGACGUGGGUCGUGGUGAGGGUAGUGGGUAAAGAAGCGCCGGCUAACUACGUG